rnacentral:lncRNA from 1 species
UCUGCAGGCUGCUUUCUUUUUUCUCUUGCUAGUGCGAGUUGUUCUCGGUGCACAGAGAUUUUUUUUUCGUUUUCUUAAUCUGUAUUAAUUUAUACUAUCAGUUUUAUACACAUAUACACAUACCCAUUAUUUCUUUUUUCGGUUUCCUUCGAUAUGUGUGUGAUUUUGUUGCUAACGUUAUGGAAACAGGAAUGAUUCAUUCGUCUGCAUCUUUAAACAAGUCCCAAUCGCGAUGCCCGCUUCAAGAACAGUUUCUUCAGAGAAGAAGUUCGCGGGAAAAUGUAAGUUAAAUGUGUUUCGUGUAUUAUUAAUGUUGAUGUGUUUCCUUAAUUGCAUGCUAAUUUUUCAAGAAUUUGUGUUGUAAAUAGAAUUAAUCUUCUGCAAGUAAAAGUACGCGAAGAGAAAGAAGUUAGAUAUUACAAUGAGCUCGUCUAAGUGUCAACUAAAUCUACUAUUUUGCCUACAAGCUUCCAACUUAAAACCCCAUCCAUAUCCAAAGCACACGAAAAAAGCUCAACAUAUUGGUCCUUAUAUCUUACAGCCGCCAACCUACAAUCAAAUUACACACAGCAAAGUUGGACUUAUCCCUUGCUUCCUCAGUAAUAACCGGUGUAAUAUGUAGCGGAGGGGGCAGCAGUAGGAGUUUGCUGAGCCGGAGUUGUAGCAACAGCAGGCUGUGCAUAAGUCGGCUGGGGAAAGGCCUGAGAUUGAUAAGUCUGAGGGUAAGUUCCAUAUGCUGUACUUUGAGAAAGUGAAACUGGCGCCUGAGGAUGUGCAUAACUUGCUCCAUAACUGCCAUACACAGCCUGUUGUGCAUAAUUCCACUAUUGCGUAUGAGUUUGUAAGGAUUGAGGCCAAGCUUGAGGUUGUACGCCAUAACCUGCUGGCCACUGAUUUUGUGUAGUAGGAUAAGCACCCAUCACAGAGGUUGAAGAAGUCGAAACAAGUGAUUUUGCAAGUUUUGCUCUGUCUGAAGCUAAAAGUCCUCGGCAUGACGUUUCUUUGACUCAGCCGUGCUUCUAUGGUUCAAGAACAAUUUUGAAUGUCGAUAAUCUGCCUUCUUUACAGACAUAGCAUCUGCCUUCUAUGGUUUGUUUCGAGUAAUUAGAAUUUCUUUUGCAUUUGAGUCGCUAAAGAGUUAAACUUUUUGGUGUCUGGAUAUGGUUUGUCAGCCUACAUUUAUAAAUGAUGUGGUUUAUUCAAAUUAUUUGUGUAUGGUGAUGAUGUCUCUAGUUAGCCAUUUUUCGAGAGUUGUAGUGUAGGUUCUGGUUUUAUAUGGNNN